AAUGCUUUUGGCAUGCAAGCCGAGGAAGCUUAUUAAAUAUUACAUAAAACCUCAUAUCUUUCAGACUAAUUGUUCCAAAGAGUACUUUCUCUAGAGAACACAUAGAUCUGGCUGAUAGUAAGCGUCUAACUAACCUAUUUCUUGUUGGACAUCUGAAAUGAUUCUUGUGGUCUUUUUUGCCUCCUUUCUUCUCUCUUGUCUACCUUUUCUUCACUCUGCUACAAACCACAGCAUUUCUACAUCAAUCUGCCCAAAAAGUUUCGUUUGCCCACAUUUAGCCCCAUCCAAAUACCCUUUUUAUAAUGCCACUGACACGCAAUGCGGGUUGAUCAAGGUCAAUUGUACUUCGUAUGGUGGGGAAAUUCAUCUUGGAAGAGACUCGUAUCAGAUUCAAGGCAAUUUUGUAUCUGAUUCUUCCAUCUGGGUUGUUAACAAAGUGUUUGGAAAACUUGUAGAGAAGGAAAGGUGUGAGGCACUUAUGUAUAAUUUCUCUUCUCCAAGUCCUCUUUUGUAUUCCACUUCAAUCAAACCUUUCAUCAGGCUUUACAAAUGUACAAACAAUUCCACUUAUGAUGCACAAACGGAGGCUUAUUUUCACCAAUUUAAUUACAAUAGCUAUAACAAAUGCAAAGAUCACAACUUCUACUAUAAGUAUUCAAUCAGCAACACAACAAUUCUAAGUGAUCUCCCACUUACAUGUCAAGCAAUACGGCUGCCUGUAGAGACAGGUGACCAUAAAGUACUUAAUGAAACAAACAUAUUUUCUCUUCUCAGUUCCAAAUUCUCUGUUUUAAUUAAGCUCUCACCUUCCUGUGAUAAGUGUCACAAGGAAGAAGGCCAGUGUCAUACUCAAAAUGGACAGUUUCUGUGUUCCAACGCCAAAAUGGGUGAUGCGCACUGGCAUAACCAUGAUGGACUCAAGUCUACCAACACAAAAAAGGAAAAAGAAAAGCCACACAGAAAACUGAAACUCAUCCUAGUUCUCGCUGGAUCUGCCUUCAUCCUCAUCCUCUCUCUUCUUAUGUUCAUAAUCUGGCGACGCUACAAGACCAACCCUCCUUCCUAUUACUCAUCAAAGGACGACAUAUCACUAAACAAUGAAGAUGGGAGUCUUUUCUAUGGUGUCUCUGUUUUCUCCUACACAGAGCUUGAAGAUGCCACCCAAAAUUUCGACCCUUCUAAGGAACUGGGGAAUGGAGGUUUUGGAGCUGUUUACUAUGGAAAACUCCAAGAUGGGAGAGAAGUUGCAGUGAAGAGACUCUACGAGCACAAUUACAAGCGAGUCAAACAAUUUAUUAAUGAGGUCAAAAUCCUCGCCAGAUUGAGGCACCCCAACCUCGUAGUCCUCUAUGGUUGCACUUCUCGACAAAGCCAUGAGCUUCUCCUUGUGUAUGAGUACAUCUCCAAUGGCACUGUUGCAGAUCACCUCCAUGGAGAACUAGCAAAUCCAAGCUUUCUGACAUGGCCAUUAAGAAUGAACAUUGCUAUCGAAACUGCCAGAGCGUUGGUGUACCUUCAUGCCUCUGAAAUCAUACACCGAGAUGUCAAGACCAGUAACAUUCUCCUUGAUCACAAUUUCAGUGCCAAGGUAGCAGAUUUUGGGCUCUCGAGGCUGAUACCGAAUGAUGUCACUCACGUGUCUACAGCUCCUCAGGGAACCCCAGGAUACGUGGAUCCCCAAUAUCACCAUUGUUACCAAUUAACGGAUAAGAGUGAUGUUUACAGCUUUGGAGUGGUCUUGAUUGAACUAAUAUCAUCAAUGGUGGCUGUCGAUUUAAGCAGGUCACAAGAUGAGAUUAGUUUGGCUAAUCUAGCUUUGAACAGGAUACAAAGAUGUGCGUUAGAUCAAUUAAUAGACCCGGAUCUAGGAUCCGAUUCAGAUGCUGAAAUCAUGAGGAUGAUAACAUCAGUGGCAGAGUUGGCUUUUCAAUGUUUACAGUAUUAUUCAGAAAUGAGGCCUACGAUGAGUGAGGUGUUGGAUGUGUUGGAGGAUAUCCAAGCCCCAGGGAGAAUUGAUUCUGUAAAAGCGCCACCACCGUCUGAAGCCAGUGAUAAGACGGUUUUGUUGAAAGACUUCCUGCCUUCGCCGGUUUCCGUCACCGGUGAAUGGCACAGCGAAAGCACCGUAUCAACUACACUAAGCGUUACAUAGAUUCCCAAUGAAGAGUCGUAUCAGAACAAAGCAUCAUCGUGCAAAUUCAGGUACUCUCAAGUUAAGAGUUUCUUUUUUAGAAAACUGUGUAUUGAGUAGACAUGGUGGUGGUUCUGAUCAGUAACUUCAAAUCAAACGGAAUUAGUUUACUUAACUUACAGGGCAUGCUAAAGCUGCUGUAGGUGUUUGAUUUUGGCACAACAGGCUCCACGAAUGUCCUAAAGAUGAAAUCUUGAAAGUCAGCCACAAAGGAAGUCUGAAGUAUUUUCAACCCCAAGAGGAACAACAUGCGUAUAUAUGAUUGUUCAAAUACAAUACUUGAUCUGAGAUUAGAUAUCCCCAACAUGUUUGUAAGGUAAGGUCUUACACUGUCCCAAAUUGGUCUAUGUAAGCUUUUUACAUGGAUAUGUGUGUGUGUGUGUCUAUAUAUAUAUAUAUAUAUAUAUAUAUAUAUAUAUAUAUAUAUAUAUAUAUAUAUAUGACUUCUAGACUCAAACAAACUUAUUUUAACAUUCAUAUUUUGAUUUUUAUAGUGUUGCAUAAUGGGGCAUGAGAUACAUAGCAUACAUAGUUUGAUAAUGUUGUAUCAUAGGGUAGAAAAUGGACUUGAUGUUUCACCUAACAUGCUGAAAUGGUUUUAGAUCUGGAUCUAAUUUUCUAUUAUAUGUUUGUUUUUUUUUCUAUCCACUUUAAUAUUUGUGAUGUAGAUGAAGACAGUAUCGCAUCUGUCUUCUGGUUUCAUGGUUUCGUGGUCUGGUCAUUAAAGCCUAAUGGGGUAAUCUGGACUAUUUUACCCUCAGAAUGGGUAUGGAUAACUUCAAUCGCUGUUUUACAUCUUAUUGCAUUUACUGAGUGUUAAAAGAUGCUAUAGAGAAAUCUAUGAUGUUAUGGUUGGUUUUGGGUUACUACUCUACAUGCAAGCUAAGGGGUCAACUUUUCUAACUUCCUUUUUUACUUGAUUGAUUUUUUAUUUUUUGUUUUGUAGUAUCCAUAUUAAGCAAAUGUCACAUAAGUGGUGAUGAAGAUGGUGUUAUGAUAUCAAUUUCUGACAGGUUAUCCAAAAGAAGUGAACAUUGAUCUGAUGGAUUAGUACUUAUGGAUUACUGCAUAAUGAAGAGGUAUUGGAAUAAGCAUUUUCAGAAUUCUUUGUAUUUUGGACCAUUUUACCCCAGCUAUGAUUUGUCCCAUUUUUUAUGGUUAUUGGAUGGUCUAUUACUAGAAAACUGGUUUUUUUAAGGGCCUUCGAACUCACUAUGGGUGGUGUUUAUUUCUUUUAUCUUUGUAUACGUGGCAACAUCAUAAAGUUGUGGUCCCCAAAAUAACAACAUACCUAAGUUUAUUUACACAUUACUGGUGCACAAUCGUGUAGGUCAUUAAGACCAAUGACAUUGUAGAAUGAUAUUGAUUUUGAUGGGAUUUGGAAGGAGUAAGAACCAUUUUUGUAGAUUUUGUAUUCUUACUGUUUAUCUGUAUUUAGCUUAUCAUAGAUGAUAUGGAUUUGGAAGGAAUAAGAACCAUUUACAUGAUU